UACGUAGGGUGCAAGCGCUAAUCGGAAUUACUGGGCGUAAAGCGUGCGCAGGCGGUUGUGCAAGUCAGAUGUGAAAUCCCCGGGCUCAACCUGGGAACUGCAUUUGUGACUGCACGGCUAGAGUGUGUCAGAGGGGGGUAGAAUUCCACGUGUAGCAGUGAAAUGCGUAGAUAUGUGGAGGAAUACCGAUGGCGAAGGCAGCCCCCUGGGAUAACACUGACGCUCAUGCACGAAAGCGUGGGGAGCAAACAGG
rnacentral:rRNA from 1 species